rnacentral:rRNA from 1 species
CAGAGGGGGCAAGCGUUGUUCGGAAUUACUGGGCGUAAAGGGCGCGUAGGCGGCCUGUUAAGUCGAACGUGAAAUCCCUGGGCUCAACCCAGGAACUGCGUCCGAUACUGGCAGGCUUGAAUCCGGGAGAGGGAUGUGGAAUUCCAGGUGUAGCGGUGAAAUGCGUAGACAUCUGGAGGAACACCGGUGGCGAAGGCGGCAUCCUGGACCGGUAUUGACGCUGAGGCGCGAAAGCCAGGGGAGCAAACGGGAUUAGAUACCCCGGUAGUCCUGGCCCUAAACGAUGAAUGCUUGGUGUGGCGGGUAUCGAUCCCUGCCGUGCCGAAGCUAACGCAUUAAGCAUUCCGCCUGGGGAGUACGGUCGCAAGGCUG